rnacentral:misc_RNA from 1 species
ACAUGCACGCACGCAGGGCUCCUUCCACACACUAGCUCACUGUGGCGACGCAACCGCCCCGCUAACACAUUCGCGCGCGCUCUUUCCUCCCCGUCCCCGCCCCACCCUUCCACCGUUUCCAUUGGGCGAGCACCGCACUGCACUCUCUGACCGCCUCCUCCACACUGCUCACAGGGCGACGUGUCUGAGGCGCAUCCCCCACCUCCUCUCUCGCCCUCUUCCCGCUCACUGACGACUGACUGCAGACGGCAUUGGCUGCGCCGGCACGAUGACGCAGAGCACCCACUGCCCGGACACGCAGAUGGACCGCGUGAGCGAGGGCGGCGCGUCCUUCAGCGAUGACGCGGUGAUGGUGAACAAUGUGGGUGAGGCGCAGCUGAAAGACAUGGUGGACCGCCCGAUCAUGCUGGACACGGACGAGCUGGUGUACGCGACGCGGUAUCGGCCGCGCAGCUGGCUAACUACUCUGCUGAGCAAGGCUGUGCCGCACGGUGGGACGCUGUCGAACGCGUACAAUCUCGGCGCCGUGACGCUGGGCUCCGGCGUGAUUGCGCUGCCGUCCACGUUCCAGGCGACGGGUGUGGCCACGUCGGUCAUCGUGCUGAUCGCGAUCACGAUGAGCACUGUGUACUCGGUGUACAUCAUGAUGCAGGCCGCGGACAAGACGGGUCGGCGGCUGUACUCGUACGAGGCGCUGGCGCGCGGGCUGCUUGGGCGCGGGUGGGACUACCUUGCUGCGUUCCACUUGUGGAUGUUCUGCUUUGGGUCGUGCGUGUCGUACGUGAUCUCGACAGGCGACCUGCUGUCGCGCGCGACGGACGACCCGUCUGUGAACAGCUUCGUGCGGUCGGUGUGGGGCAACCGCGUGCUUGUGAUCAUUAUCUGGUCGUGCGUGAUGCUGCCGCUGUCGAUCCCGAAGGAGAUCAACUCGCUGCGCUACUUCUCGGUUGUUGGGGUGUCGUGCAUGAUGAACUUUGUGGCUGUCAUCGUGAUCCACUCUGCGAUGAACGGGUUCAAGAACGGGCGGCCGAUCCACCAGCCGCAUAUGUUCAAGACGGGCAACAACGCGAUUGUGGGGUUCUCGAGCAUCCUGUUCGCGUUCCUCGCACAGACGAACGUGUUCGAGGUGGCGCGCGAGACGCCGAACCCGACGCCCGGGCGGAUCUCGAAGGACCUAGCGAUCAGCCAGGUGGUCUGCUGUGCGCUGUACGUGCUCGCGGGCGUGUUCGGGUACCUGGAGUUUGGCGAGCAGAUCGCGGACUCGAUUCUGCUGUACUACAACGUGCGCAGCGACGUGCUUGUUGCGAUCGCGUACGUUGGGAUCGGCGUGAAGAUGUGCGUUGGGUUUGCGAUCUGCAUGCAGCCGUCGCGCGACGCGGUGUACUACUGCCUCGGCUGGCACUUCUCGAUGUUCAAGGACAUCCGGACGGUGCCGUUCUGGCUGAACGCUGUGAUCUGCACUGGGCUCUCCGUGCUUGCGCUUGUGCUGGGGCUGUUCAUCCCGAACGUGAACGUCGUGUUUGGGCUUGUGGGCAGCUUCUGCGGCGGGUUCCUGGGGUUCAUCUAUCCAGCUCUGUACGUCAUGUACGCUGGCAACUGGGGCCUGCGGCAGGUGGGCUGGCUCCACUACGUCUCGACGUACUUGCUGCUGAUCGCCGGCGUGGUUGCUGUUGUUUUCGGCACGGUUGCCUCUAUCUACGGCGAGGUCCACUGAGCAGCGGCGAGGCAGCCGCGCUUGUCUGCGUUGUUCGCUGCGUGUUUGCUUCACAUGUGUGGAAGAGGUGGAGGAUAGUGUGGAGGAGGGGUAAAGGCGCCGGUGGAGUGGUUUUUGGGUGCGGCCACCGAGCGCGCGGCGCCUAUGGGCGUUCUCCGCACGCCUCGCCACCCGCUUCUCUCCCUCUUUCCCUCUCCACAUCUCCCUCUGCGUGCGUGCCUUUCUUCACCUUCCUUUGCCUCCGCGUGUCUUUGGUUUUGUGGGUCACAGGAGCGCUGCAGAGAAGGGAAGGCGUGGGAGAGCAUAGCAAGCAAUCGUCUCUAGGAGCUGACGACCGCCGUGUGGCCGGACGCGCGGUGUUUUCGUGUUUUGUGAUGCUCGUUCUGUCCGAUGUUGUGUGAGAAAUCGGUUUUGCACACGCGGGUGUCUCUGGCCACACUCGACGGAAAGCUCGUAGGGUAAGUUGUUGGGUAUUAGUGGACCAUUUGUGCUACGUGUGUGCGUACGCUGGUUUUGUGUGUGCGUGUGUUUUUUAUUUUUCUGGGUUUCGGCAUGACCCGGCAUCGUGCCCGGUAUGCUACGCAGGGCUGACGGAUCGCUCGAAACUCCACAGACACUUCACUUCACGGCAUUAUCUUGCAGCCAGUGACCUGAUCACACACGUAUCCCUCGCGCUGCAUGGGCUUCUCUCGCCGGGUGUUUGUGGCUCUCCCCUGUCCAAAUUCAGAACGAUAGGUUGAGAGCUCUCCCUGCGCACACUCAUGCGUACGCACCGGCCUUUUCCGCUUGGCUUACUCAUUCCUCUGAAAGACAUGCGGAUUCAGACGAACGUGGUAUACCUCAUGCAGCCACAGACUCAUGACAGCUAGCACCUGUCGCGGGAACCGCGUACAAGCCGGCCAGACACGCCUCCCACGGCAUCGCCGGCAAUGGCAGAUGAAUACACCAGGCCGCCCCAGGUGGCAACAGCGUUCGAAACCAUACCCCACGAUGCAAAAUCGCUAUAACUGUGCGCCGGUGAUGUGAAGCACAGCUGGCGUGAUGUGUGUGCCAUCCAGACAAAGGCAUCCAGACAUCGGAAGGGCGAGAGUGGCUGACGAAAGGAGGCGCGAAGAGGGCCAUACGAAUCAACCCAGAAGCGCAUGCGUGCGAGAUAUGCGGCGUCCCCCACGUCCGACCGCGUCUGCACCGAUGAGGCACAGAUGCGGGAAGCAUGGAGAGAGCACCCCGACGCUCACCACCGAGCCCUCCAUGUUCCCAUGUUGCGAGCCCCCACACCGCAUUGCAGGAUGUCGCGACUGGAAGCAGCUGAGAGGGCAACGCAUGGGGCACACAGGCAGAGUGCGCAGGGUCUCGGAGGGUUCUGACCUGAAGGUGGCCAACCCCCUUCCUGAGCUCAUCCGGCGUGCGCCUGGGCCACCCCUCUACCGCCCGCAAGGCAGACGCCGCCACUGCUUCCGCCCUCGAGCAUGACUCUGGGCACGGCCCGCAUUGGAUCCAGGCAUGCAUGCCACCCAGGCCUGUGUGGCGCCCAUCGCGCAGCACGUAGCAGAGGAAGGGACGAGGAAUGGCAAGGAGAGCCGGUACGACGCAUGACCCCGAUGCCCACGGCAGGCAGUGCGUCCUUGGCGACCAGAGUGUGCUGCCGUGGUGCAGCAGAGGCAAGGUGGAGCCGUGGCUGUGCGUGCGUAUGUUUGCUGACUUGCUCGCGGGUGGCAUAUAAUGGGCACAGUGGACACAUAAAAAAAUACGUUUUUCUACGCAUUUGCUGGUUGGCAUUCUGUGAAGCGUGGCGGCCAAAAGGGGGAAGGCCAGGCCGCCCUGAAACAUUCGCAGAGCCUGUACUGGCGCGCUGCAGUAGCGGCGCAGUGAUGAGGAAGCAUUGCCAAGACAAGCUCCUGCGGACUAUGUCGUGCGCUUUUCUGCACCUGCCCUUGGUACCUCUUUUCUCUCUCGCUGCCUCCCCUGCAACGUCCGCCUCUUCUCGAACGUUUGGUGGUGUGUGGGUGUAGGGAAUGAGCGAAGGCGGUGCCAUCAGCAGCGGUGGCGGUGUUACGCGGACGCGGGUAAGCGGGGUUUCUUUCCUCGCGUUCAGUGCUGUGUACCGCGUGCAGAGCCGCCGCUGCCUACCGCAUGUAUGUGUGUGUGUGUGUAGGCGGGGGGGGUAGUGGAGGGGCCGCUCUGCGUCUCUCGUGGUUUCUCUUUCCUCCUCAGUUUGAGAUGCGGCUGUUGUUGUGGUUUGCGGUUGUUGUUUUCUGCUCUUUCCUUUUUGUCGUCUCUUUUCGUUCGCGUUCACUGUGCCAGACUUUUACAACUGUAAAGGCGCCUGUUCCCUCUCUUUUUUUCUCUCGCUCUCGCUUUUCUUCCCGCCUUUGAUUUUCUUUCACACACGACGGAUGUGCUUGCUUUUCGUGUGCGUGUUGCGGUGGUGCGUACGUGUGCACCCUUUGCCGGGAUGACUGCCUGUGUGUGUGCGUGGUGCUGGGCUGCCUUCGCCCUAUCCACGUGAAUGUUCAUGUGCAUGUCCUCCCUGGCGUUGAUAGUGCUGGUGCUGUUGGUCUGUUCAUCUCCCCACCUCUCCCCCGCGUUGCUGCUGCCUUCUUUUCCUCUGUGAGGCGAUGCCGUCUUGUUUCUCUGUGGGCACUGAGCGAGUGAGGGCUCGAGCGAUGGUCUUUCCUGUGUGCGUGUGCUCAUGUGCAAUGCCUGUGUAUCGAGGGCGGGCGCAUGUGACCCCCGUGAAAGACGUACACACGCCCACAGGCAUACGGCCGCAUUCGCAGAGCCACUCGACAGAUGCUGAGGUGAAGGCGGAGAGGUGAGGCGACGGCAGGCAGACAAGCGCACUCGGCAGUCGAAAAAGUGAAGCGCAGUACAGAUCAGAGAGGAAACAUGGGGACAUACCCGCCUCUUGAGGUGCUGUUUGCGUUUCUGCCGCUUCGCUGCUGUUGUGCAGCUCCUCCAGCUGCGACUGUGCUGCUCAUGCGUGUGCAUCGCCGCACCGUGCGGGCGACGUGCAGACGUUGCAGACUCGGAGGCAAAGGAGGACGGGUAAUGAGCGCAUCCGACGCUCAUGUGGAAGCGCGCAUUCCCUUUCCUUUGGUGUGUGUGUGCGCGCGUGGUUGGAUAGGUGGCCGGUGGGGAUGCAAAAUAUAGUGAGCCAGCCGAGCAACAAGGAAGGGUGUGAGGAAAGGGAGAUGGGAUAGGUGGACUGUGCCGUCCGUCCGGCGCGGUUUCUACCGGAGGUGUGCGCGGCUGACGCACAUGCAUGCUCUCCCUCUAUCCCUCUCUUUUUCCUCUCCUCUUCCCCUGCUUCCUCGGUGUGGUUCCUUCCUCGUCGCUGCUCUUGUUGUUCAUGCGUCUUCUCUUGGCAUGUUUGACAAGUGUAAAGAUGAUACACUGUGGCCCCUUUUUCUGUUCCGUUUCCAUUCUUUCCUUUCUUGUGUGGUGUACCUUACCUUCUCUGUCUCUCUCUCUCCCUCCCUCCCCAUCUCUCUUCUCUCCUCUCUCUCUCUUCAUGCUGUGAACGGCCCAAGCAGUGGCAGAGAGCAGCAUACAUGCCGCUUGAGGGGGGCUUCUCUCGUUCUAUAGACUUUCUUUUUUCUUCUGUGAGUCGGAGUAAUUCGAGCGAACCGGAGUACGCACAGGCAGCUACACGUGCACGUGCCAGUGGUCGUCAUCUCGCUUCCGUCCAAUCCAUAAACCUCUAAGUAUUUCCGUUUUCUUGUUGUGCUUCCUUUUCCAGCAACUCAUUCCUUCGGCCGAACAUGUAAUUAUGCAAGCAAGCAGGGAAGAAAAAAA